GUUUACAGGGCGGGCCAUGGGGUCAGGCUCUGGCUGCUGGCCGCGCGUUGGGAGACGGCGCCCUGACGUUUGUAGCAGAAGAUGGCUCUAGUCCUUGAGCCCCUACACCCAUGUGAGAGACCUGGAAGAAGCUCCUGGCUUUUGAGUUUGGAUUGGCUCUGUUUUGGAGAGUGUGGUCAUGUGGUUGGUUCAAUACAGAGAUACUGAGGUGCUCAGAUAUUCUGGACAAAGAGAAAGACAGAAUUGAGGAAAGAAAACCCGUGUUCUUCCCUAGAAAAACGUAGAGUCCUUUGAAGGUAU